GCUUCUGUAGUUCAAUGGAUAGAACAGUCCCGUCCUAAGGGAUAGAUGUCAGUUCGAUUCUGGCCAGAAGCA
rnacentral:tRNA from 1 species